GCGCUCAAUCCCACCUGCAGAGCGCCUGUCCGUCUGCCUGAGGUAUGGUGAGCCAGAUCAUCCCCCAGGUAGCGACGGCCAUCUGGGACUGUCUAGUGGACGAUUUCACGGCUGUGCCUUCAACUGAAGACUGGCGGUCCAUCGCAGAGGGAUUCCAGGAGCGCUGGAACUUCCCCCUCUGUUGUGGAGCUCUGGAUGGGAAGCACGUCCAGACGAAGGCACCCCCCAACUCAGGAUCCAUGUUCCACAACUACAAGGGAACUUUCUCCUUUUUAAAAUUUUCUUAAUAAAUGGAUCUCUACUCCAAAAUAA